rnacentral:tRNA from 1 species
GGUGGCUCAGUGGUAGAGUGCUUGCCUUGCAUGCAUGAGGCCCUGGGUUCAGUUCCUGAGCACCA